AGGACGAACGCUGGCGGCGUGCCUAACACAUGCAAGUCGAGCGGAAAGGCUCCUUCGGGAGUACUCGAGCGGCGAACGGGUGAGUAACACGUGGGUAAUCUGCCCAGGACACAGGAAUAACCAGUGGAAACGCUGGCUAAUGCCUGAUGAAGUGCCGGCCCUGCGGGGCUUGGUACCAAAGGUAGCUUCGGCCUCCGGUCUUGGAUGAGCCCGCGGCCCAUUAGCUUGUUGGCGGGGUAAAAGCCCACCAAGGCAACGAUCAGUAGCUGUUCUGAGAGGAUGAUCAGCCACACUGGGACUGAGACACGGCCCAGACUCCUACGGGAGGCAGCAGUGGGGAAUAUUGGACAAUGGGGCAACCCUGAUCCAGCAAUACCGCGUGUGUGAAGAAGGCCUUCGGGUUGUAAAGCACUUUAGGUCGGGGAAGAAGAGUUACCAUUUUAAGAGAUAGGUAAUUUGACGGUACCCGCAGAAUAAGCACCGGCUAACUCUGUGCCAGCAGCCGA
rnacentral:rRNA from 1 species